GAUAGGGAUGUGCGUCAGGAGGGCUGCCCAAGACACCUGCACUCUCGUCGAGUGGGCUCUGACAAUCAGCAGUGGCAGAACUCUCGCCAGAUUGUAACAGGUACUUAUGCAUGAGGUGAUCCAACUGGAAAUCCUCUGCGCAGACACUGGAAGGCCUUUCAUCCCGUCUGCUGUAGCGAGAAAGAGCUGAGUUGAUUUACAGAAAGGCUCGGUACAUUCAAAAUAAAAAACCAAGGCGCUCCGGAUGCCCAGGGAGCAAAGACGCCUUUCUUCACUGGUCCUGUGUGGGAGGAAGAUGUCCUGGUUCAUAUGGAAGGUAGAUACCAUCUUUGGCAGGAAGGCCGGGUGGGGCCGCAGCUGAACCUUGUCUUUGUAGAAGACCGUGUAUGGCAGUUCUGAGGUCAAGACUUUAAUCUCAGAGACCUGUCUCACCAACGUCACCACCACCAGGAACGCAGCCUUCCAUGACAGGUGGGAAAGGGAGCAGGAGCCCAGCGGCUCAAAGGGCAAGCCGGUGACCCUAAAGAGGACCAAGUUAAGAUCCCACUGCGGGACAGGAGUCUGUACCUGUGGGAAGAGUCUCUCAAGAAUCUGACUGUCAUGUCAUGGGAAAACACCGUCUGUCCUUGGAUUGGUGAGUGAAAAGCAGAGAUGGCCACGAGAUGUACUCUAAUGGAAGAGUGUGCCAGGCCCUGGUUCCUCAAAUGGAGCAGGCAGUCUAGACAGGACAGCCAGUAUGGAAGAAUGCGAGGGAGAGAUGCCGCAUUCGGAUGUCCAGUGGGAAAACCUCGUCCACUUUGCCAGGACCCUGCUGAUGAGUGGAAUCGGAGGGAACACGUACAUCAGGCUCCCUGACCGUGACAGGAGGAGGACAUUGGAGAGAGAGUCCUUGUCCAGACCUUGCUGAGAACAAAACCGGUGGCAUUUCCUGUUCUGUCUCGUCCACUUGGAGAGUUCCCCACUUUUGGAAGAUCAUGCAGGCUACCUCUGGAUGGAGCGACCACUCAUGGUGAGACGAAAAGUCCCUGCUGAGCUGGUCUGCCAUCGUAUUCUUGACGCUGGGAAGGGCUCGGCCAUCGAAGGGCAAGUCCUGCAUUGACUGGUGGGCCUCGGAGGACAACCCAGAGAGGAGCAGUAGGAGGCUUGCCAUAUGGAAAUAGUGGAAGCCAUGGUGUGGGCAGCAGCAUCAGCAGCAUCUGAUGCCACCUGGAGGGCUGCCCUGGCCGCAGUCGUGCCCUCAUCGAGGAUCGCUCAGAACUCAUUCUU